GCGAGUGAAGCGGCAAAAGCUCAAAUUUGAAAUCCCUCCGGGGAGUUGUAAUUUGAAGGAGGUGGACAGGCACGGCUUAAAGUCCCUUGGAACAGGGCGCCACAGAGGGUGAGAGCCCCGUUGCGGCCACGCCUACAACGUCCGCCAUCCGACGAGUCGAGUUGUUUGGGAAUGCAGCUCUAAGUGGGUGGUAAAUUCCAUCUAAAGCUAAAUACUGGCGAGAGACCGAUAGCGAACAAGUACAGUGAUGGAAAGAUGAAAAGCACUUUGAAAAGAGAGUGAAACAGUACGUGAAAUUGUUGGAAGGGAAGGGUUUGCUGGGAGCUUGCCAGCAUCGGCUGUGCGGGGUGGACAAGUCGUCAGGAAUGUGGCUCCCUCGGGAGUGUUAUAGCCUGGCGAGAUGCACCCACGCGCGGCCGAGGCCUGCGGCAACAAGGAUGCUGGCGUAAUCCCCGCAAACCGCCC
rnacentral:rRNA from 1 species